AAUGAACGUUGGCGGCGUGGAUUAGGCAUGCAAGUCGAGCGAGACCGUAGCAAUACGGGGACAGCGGCGAACGGGAGAGUAACGCGUGGAGUAUCUGCCCUUGGAUUCGGGAUAGCCGCGGGAAACUGCGGGUAAUACCGAAUAACGUCUCCGGACCAAAGGUGUGAUUCCGUCUGAGGAUGACUCCGCGUCCUACUAGCUUGUUGGUGAGGUAACGGCUCACCAAGGCGACGAUGGGUACCGGGUGUGAGAGCAUGACCCGGCUCACUGGGACUGAGACACUGCCCAGACACCUACGGGUGGCUGCAGUCGAGAAUCUUCGGCAAUGGACGCAAGUCCGACCGAGCGACGCCGCGUGCGGGAUGAAGGCCUUCGGGUUGUAAACCGCUGUCAGUGGGGAGGAAAUUCGGGAGGGUUCUCCCUUUCGAUUGACCUAUCUUCAGAGGAAGUGCGGGCUAAGUUCGUGCCAGCCGCCGCGGUAACAC
rnacentral:rRNA from 1 species